rnacentral:rRNA from 1 species
UACGUAGGGGGGCAAGCGUUGUCCGGAUUUAUUGGGCGUAAAGAGCGUGUAGGCGGCCAGGUAGGUCCGUUGUGAAAACUCGAGGCUCAACCUCGAGACGUCGGCGGAAACCCUCUGGCUAGAGUCCGGAAGAGGAGAGUGGAAUUCCUGGUGUAGCGGUGAAAUGCGCAGAUAUCAGGAAGAACACCCGUGGCGAAGGCGGCUCUCUGGGACGGUACUGACGCUGAGACGCGAAAGCGUGGGGAGCGAACAGG